GCUCCCCGCAUCCACCCAAUACAUCGCUUCCCCAAUCCAAGGAAUGUUUUGCCGCCGCUCCGUGCGCUUCGGCCCUGAUUCAGCGCCGCCUCGCCGUCCGUGCGCCCACUGCGCGGUUGCCGCUUGCCACUACUCAACCGUCGGGGUCGAGGGUUCGCCUGCAAGCAUGAUCGGCGGCACCAGCCGCCACGUCGACCUCUUGCGGCGCUCCUCCAGCCCCGACCUCCAGCGGUGCUCCUCUGGUACUCCACAGUCCACACCCUGACGCACCACCCACUUCUCCGUCCUCACGCCCCGAUCCCCUUCGUCCUCCUCUUCCCAAGCCGCUGGCGUCCACCACAUAUCCUCUCCCCUUCUCUACAGCCCAGCCCAUCCCCACACGGCGAGCCCCUACAGAUCGAGGCGUCCAUUGCGCUCCCUUGCGAUGGUCGCCCGGCGGUAACCCAGCUCCUCCCUUCCUCCUCUUCUCCAUCGCAGGGGGAUGUCACAUCCUUCCACCGCAAGGACGUCAUCGACGGAACGGCCCGGAUGCUGAUUCCGUUGCUGCCUGCGCCUGAAACCACGCGGACACCACUUCCUCGAUGUGACCGGCGCCACACUCCACGCGAACGCCAUAUCUGUGAGAGCGAGGAUGAUUGGGAUGAAGCGGGAGCGGAGGACGUGACUCCCAAGUUGUGCUUUACUAGCCACACAAACUUCAGUUCUCGCAGUUUGUCUCGGAGUUCCGUCGGACAAAAUUCUCAAGGAAGCUCAGGACGGUUGCUUGGGCUCCAGGAAGAACUUCUGUAUUAACAUGGAUGAGUGGAUUGUGAGGUUAAAUUUGUUCUUCUGAUUUGGGGGCUGGGAUUGGGUUUAAUUGAUUUGCGGUGCGUUUGCUUGCAGAUGUCCAGAAGCUUGGGAGUGCAAACCGGAUCAAUUGGAGGUCCUUGGGAUUGAAAAUAACAAGAGAAACACAAAAUUAAGGCAUGUGCCGAUUACGUCAAAUUUGAUAUGCAAUGCUCAGAUGUUGUGUUAGAUGUUAAUACAAAUAUAGCUGCUUCUUGCAUGUUUAGGGCCUGCCAUGCUCAUGUGACUGAUAGUGUGAUAACUACUGUCUUCAGAGGAUUUUGAACUGAACUUUGGUUUUGUCCGUUCUAGGUGUUAUAGUAAUUGUGUUUGUUUUUAUUUCCUCACAUAUUCUGAUUGCACAAUAAUUGUUUGGAUAUCAUAUUUGCAUACUCUGGCUUGUUAAAUACCAUCAGUCUGGUGCCAAUUUAUGACUUAUGAAUCUGGAAUGUUCACAAGUAUAUUUCCGUCUCUUUACCAAAAACAAAUGUGCAGAAUUAGCAUGUCCAAUAAUUGUUAUCUUUAUCUUUGUUGAAUAUGUUUUCAUGACUUUUAGCUAUAAACCAUUCCGAUGAGGAGUUUGUGGACUGCUUUAGUCGAUGAUUAAUUCAUGAAAUUUCAAAGAGUUGCCUGGGGAUGACGGUCCGGCCACAUCCGUAGCAGGACGUGGCAGCGCUACCACUGCGAAUACUUUGACAAUCAUAGCCUGAUGUUAGCGAUGUGUAGAAACAUCAAACUCCACGCAGUCCAAAGAUCUCAUAGCAUGUGUGGACUGUGGACAGUAUCACCCAUAGUGAAUCAUCAAUAAUACUGGUAUGUUCUCUGCUCAUAUCUGUAUUUUGUUUUUUACAUGAUAGAUUGAUUUAACUACAUUUUACUAUGUUAUGCCUCAAGUGUACAGAGCUCAUUCAGUUUAGGUACAUACAGAUAUUUUAAAACGUGUAUUUAUAUACCUUCCCUUUUCUUUGUUGAGUAAAUAGGCAAUUUCUCGAUUAAAUUAAUCCACGAGUAAAUCACUAGCAUGGCAUUGACUAAGUUGAUGACGUACUAA